UUGUUUCUUAUUUAAAAUAAGAAAAAGUUUUAGGGUUUUAAAUUACAGCGUCAAUUUGGCGUCAAAAUAUUUUUUUGUAAAAUUUUAAACAAUAUGACUGUAAAAUUAUUGUGGAAUUGUGCACGAAUAAUCCUACUUUCAGGAUUAUCAUUUGGUUUAUAAAAGAAAUCAAACUGAAUCCCUAGAAGUACAGCAGGUACACUGCGAUCCUCCAAGUGGGACUGAGCGGCGUGGCCUCAUAUGUUUUGUGUAUCGCUCUUAAGUCUAGUGAGCGUCGCAACUUUAGUUAUUUGCCUACCGCUCUGUACCCGUGGAUUGUUCGAGCGCAAGUGUUCCUGCCCUACAAAUCCUAUCUGUCCUGACUGCGGAAUGCCGUAUUGAUAAAUAUCUAGCUAUUAGUUCUCUUGUACUUUAUCAUUUAUAUCAUCUACUCUUGUGGUAUGAUUAUUGAAACUCCAUUUACACCGUCUUAAACGUUUUUAUCUUUAGUAUCGUAAAUCGUUUUAGUUUCUAAUGUUCUGAUAAAAAUACUAGUUUUAAUAAUGAUUUGCAUGAGUUGCGCGUCUGCGAUAGCAGCAGUAGGCCUAAUUGCGUGUGGGCCGCUGUUUUGUGAAAAGUUUCUGAGAUGCCUUUUGAAAUCAACUAAGAAAUAAUUAUUCAGUUUUGUUUUGAAUAAAAUUUCACAUUGA